AACUAAAAAGACAAGAAUAAUUACACUCUGGUAAUCAAAGUACAAAUUUAAAAACAUCAAAUUUCGAAUUUGAAUUAAUUUUGUUCAUUAGAAGAGAAUUUGAAACGAUACAAUUAUGGUGUUUUCUAAUUUGGAUGAGUCAGAAAUCACUGGCCCCUACCAACAAAUCAAGAAAGAUAAGAUGAAUCCAACGUCAAAGGAUUGUCAGAAACAAACUCAGCAUCAGGAAAGUAACAAGAGUGAUCAAAAGUAUGGCGUUUGGGGACCAGUUUACAAAAAUAAGCAAGAUUUCGUAAACAUGCACAUUUGUUAAUUUUUUCUAACACCAUGUAACAUUUAUUAUAUAUAACCAAUCUUUUUUUUUUUUUUCAAAAUGCUUUCUUUUUGGCACAAAAUGAAUGAACAAUUAAUUCAAAUUCGAAAUUUUCAUAAAUCAUACUUAUGGCUAGGAUAACAUAAUGGUAUUACUCUUCAUAGAAAAAAAAAAUAGAAAACUUUUGCGCGUAAUAUAUUUUUCUUUCUAAACACAAAAUCAAAAUUAAUAAGGAAAUAGAUUAACUUUUGAAAUGCAUUGAAUCAGCAUUCUAUGCAUUCCCUUCAUGUGAUAUUCAAAUAUACUAUAUUAUACUUAGAUUAUUGUAUUUAGAUUAACACUUUAAUGGCCGUACGUGUACUCAGUCAAACAUUGUCAGGGACCCGGUAGAUAAUAUUUUUCAAGAAUUAAUUUAAAAAAAAACUUUAUUGUUAUUCACGAAAAAAUUAACAUAAAACAAAAAACAACACACGUAUUGUGUGAGCGGCCACAUUAAAGUGUUAAUAUUUUAACGGGGAUAAUUGUUACCUAUAUUUGGGAAAUAUACAAAACAUAUAUUGCAUUAUGGGUAUUUUUAUUUAUUGUAUAUUCUUUAAAAUACUAUUUAUCUAUUUAAAGUACUGCACUAUUUUAUAUAAUACUAACCACUAAUAUUUAGCUAUUAAUUUAGAUUGAAAUGUGUUAAAACAUUGAUCCAAUAAACAGCAAGGCGUUAACACUUUAAAGCAAAACAAUUUACCACGAUAAUAUUGAUCGAACAAGGAAGAAGUAUGUAGAAAGAGGAAGAAAAUAAGAAUCCAAAUAUAAAUUUCAGUGGUAUGAGGUGAAAGAGGAGUAGACAAGAUCAGUAUCGAAAGUGAUGGCAUCCGGCUAACAGUGAAGAAGAAAAUCCUUAAUGCUUUGGUUAGAGACGGGAAGUAAAAGUAGUUGUAGAAGGGGAAAGGUAUGGAGAAGGUAUGGAAGCAAGCAUGAGCUUUACGGAGGGGUAAAAAGCUCGUGGAAGAGGAAAAAGCUAUGAGUCUCCCGACAAUCGUGGAUGCAUCCUUGUUGCAGUCGGUUCUUGCACGCUAACUCGUUCGUUUCUAAAGUUUGUGCGGAGCAAGCUCGAUUUAGCAUAAUUCUCAUUUUUAUUUUAGUAUUUUAUUUUUCAUAUGACCAUAUACAUAUAUAUAUAUAUAUAUACAUAUAAAUAUAUUUAUUUAUUUAAUUAAUUUAUUUAUUUAUUCAUAAACAUCCAUUCCUUGGCUAUCAAAGUCAACUGAAUUUUGUAUUUAGUUAUCAUCAAUUGAUCGAAUUUCUAAAUCGAUUUUUGUAUGAAAAAAAAGAAUGAAAAUAUAAAAGAAAGUGUGUCUUCGUUAGUAAGUAGUGAAGUAGUUCGUUCCAGACGAAAUUACAACGAAGAGAUACGAGACGAGACGAAAAGAAACGAAACGAAACGAGACUGACGCUAUUUUCGUAGCACCCUGAACAUACACCUUGGGUGCUAUUUUUAUCGGCACCCAAUAGUCACUCGUCAAGUCACCGUAUAAGAAGACAACCCCUCGCGAACAGCCGGAGGUGUACUAUCAACUAACGUCCCCCUAAGUCAUUUCUAACGUGAUUCUAUCGUGAAAAACGCGAGGUAUAGUUGUUCAUCGUAACAACCAUGCACGUAUGCUACUUUUUCCUGUAUCACCAUUAACACGAGGACAACUUUACGAGGGGAUAUAGAACACGUGCUAUUUUUUCUAACAGAAAUCAGUACAGUUAAAUGUGAUGAGUAACUUUUUAAAUUUGUCAAUAUAUAUAUUAAUGAAAUAAAAAUUUAUAGAAAAAAAAAA
rnacentral:misc_RNA from 1 species